GAUGGAGCUGGAAUUGGUCUGGCACUUCUUAUUGCUACCCAUAACCUAGGGCCAAUUGAUGUUCUCAACAGAGAAUUGCUCUAACACAAAAUUUGGGCUAGAAAGCAGCCCAUUUCUGGGUGCAGGAAAAAAGUACUGACAUCGGCUCUGAUAAACAGAAGUUUCAGGCUCAAGAAAAAAAAAUUAGAAGAAUGAGGAAAGAAAAGAGAGAGCAACAAGAUAAUGGUUCAGUCAAUGGUUGGACUGGAGAAGCCUGCAGAGCUGAAAUCACAGCUGAAUCUAUAGUUUAAAGGCAGC